rnacentral:tRNA from 1 species
UGGCUCAGUGGGUUGAGCAUCUGACUUCAGCUCAGGUCAUGAUCUCACGAUUCGUGGGUUCAAGCCCAC